GAGAUGGUAUCCCUUCUGUGUAUUUUAACAACGUUCCCGAGGGAAUUUAUAUAGCAUCGGUAGGUAUUGAUGAAACCGUUUGUCCAGAUUGUGCGUAUUUCAGAUCGAGAAAUAACAUCACUGUUCGUGCUAUGCCCACUCCCGCCCCCUCAACAGCACAUAGUACCCGUCCUAGAGACCCUGAGGAGACCUCAAAUACAUCAGGAUCCCCACCCCAUUUGGCAGCGCUGACAGGAGCUCUGGGAGUAAUCCUUGGGGUUAUUCUCAUCACGGUCCUCAUAACCCGCACGCGUAGAAGGAGCUCUUUACGUCCUUCCGAACAAAGUGGUGAUGAGAAAGAGACUGGAGGAGAUACUUUGGAAAGAUCACCCAUGCUUCAUCGGGAUGACAUGC